AUGUGCCUCGUAAGGCUCGUUCCAUGCAGGCUUCCGUUGGGAGGUUUGGUGGGUUUGAAAGUAGUACUGGCGUUCCGCUUGAGUUGUGUGUCGUACACAUCUCAUGUGGUCGUUGGUAUCUACUGUGCUCCUGGAUGCGGUGCAUGCGGCAAACGUGGGCUCUUGAUUGAUCCCCGUCGAGUCCCUCGGAAUUAUUGAUUGCCAUGAACGACACUUGCCGAGGUGCCUGGGUUGCUUUUCCGCUUGCGGUGGCAACACUUGCACGUCGGGCGUAGUUGUUGGUGGAUGCUACCUGGUUGAUCCUGCCAGUAGUCAU
rnacentral:misc_RNA from 2 species